GUAAUUUCACUCAAAGGCCCAUUUAAACCAACCAAACAAAUAUUGAACGGCUUCAAGCGUCACACCUGAACACGUGUCAACAUCACAUUGCGAUUUCCAUUUUUCGUUACUCUACUCCAAUUUCCAUUUUGUUUUGUUAUUUCCAUAUCCUCCUCUAUAUAUACACAUAGUAUCAAUCAAUAUCAUUAUCAUCACAGAUUAUACAACUCAUUGUUUCCGAACAAACUAGGGUUUUGUUUUUCCGUUCGAUUUCAGAUAU